AGAGUUUGAUCAUGGCUCAGGACGAACGCUGGCGGCAUGCCUAACACAUGCAAGUCGAACGGAGGUAUAACGCAAGUUAUGCCUUAGUGGCGAACGGGUGAGUAACACGUGAGCAACCUGCCCUGUACAACGGGAUAACACUAAGAAAUUAGUGCUAAUACGGUAUAUGACCACACCGAGGCAUCUCGGAGAGGUAAAAGCGAAUAGCGGUACAGGAUGGGCUCGCGUCCAAUUAGCUUGUUGGUGAGAUAACAGCCCACCAAGGCAACGAUUGGUAGCCGACUUGAGAGAGUGAUCGGCCACACUGGAACUGAGAUACGGUCCAGACUCCUACGGGAGGCAGCAGUGGGGAAUAUUGGGCAAUGGAGGAAACUCUUACCAAGCAAUGCCGCGUGAGUGAAUGAAGGUCUUCGGAUUGUAAAGCUCUUUGAUUGGGGACGAAUAAAUGACGGUACCCAAGGAACAAGCCCCGGCUAACUAUGUGCCAGCCGCCGC
rnacentral:rRNA from 1 species